AAAAAGGAGAAGAAAAAAAAUAAAGUCAAAAAAAAGGGGAUUAGAGAAAAAGAAACAGAAAGGAAAGACAAGAAAAACAAGAGAAAAUCAAUGUUUUAGUUUAAGAAAAACGAAAGGAAAAAGGGUGGCGACUUGACUUGAGUUCAAGUUCGGGUUUCGUUUGAGUUACCGGAGACGACGUUCUUGCUUCGAUACUUGGGUUUAAUUGGUCAUAAAGGUUUCUAUCUCAUCUUACAUUAUUUAUUUUAUCAAUGUUGUCGUGAAUUAAAGCAUGAAUGAAAUGGCUUACAUGAUUUCAUGUUGGUCAAUUUAUCAAAAUUGUGGAUAUGUAUUUGUCUAGAGUUGCUGCUCGGCUUGUUUUAAAUUACAUUGGCAAUAUCGAUACCCAACCUAUGCUAAUGGAGAAUUCAAACAAUUCAUUAUUGCUGCAAAUAGACACACAUGAAAAGAUUGAAA
rnacentral:lncRNA from 1 species